rnacentral:rRNA from 1 species
AUUGAACGCUGGCGGCAGGCCUAACACAUGCAAGUCGAACGCGUGGCGGACGGGUGAGUAAUGUCUGGGAAACUGCCCGAUGGAGGGGGAUAACUACUGGAAACGGUAGCUAAUACCGCAUACCAUCGGAUGUGCCCAGAUGGGAUUAGCUAGUCGGGGGGGUAAAGGCUCACCUAGGCGACGAUCCCUAGCUGGUCUGAGAGGAUGACCAGCCAAACUGGAACUGAGACACGGUCCAGACUCCUAGGGGAGGCAGCAGUGGGGAAUAUUGCAAAAUGGGCGCAAGCCUGAUACAGCCAGGCCGCGUGUAUGAAGAAGGCCGUCGGGUUGUAAAGUACUUUCAGCGAGGAGGCGUUACUCGCAGAAGAAGCACCGGCUAACUCCGUGCCAGCAGCCGCGGUAAUUC